AAACGGUAAACAGAGCUGUUUUCUCCUCUGUCACUCCUGUCAUACCCAUGAUAUGAUUCUACCCGCUGAGCCCUGGAUGCCAGAGGGUUGACAUAUGGUGUCAGAAAGUGGGAACUGAAUCGAUCUCACCUUCAUGGACUGGCAUCCUCUGGAAAUGGCUACAAUACCUACACGAGUCCCUUGUGUUCACCACUUCUAUGGACCGCUAGUUCCUCCAAUAGCUUGUAACCUCUCCAGAAACUCUUAUCUAAACCAUCCCUGAUUCCUAAGACUGAAGCAGAAAAAAAAAGAGAAGAAGCUUUUAGAGGUGAAGACUGCUAUGGAAGCACCCUUGCUCAAAAAUCUAGUUUAAGGAAAAAUUUUAAAUGAAGGCUAAAAUAUCUCUGUUUGCUGUCUGUGUGUUUGUGUGUGUGUUCAUAUAUGUAUGUUAUAAAUAUAUAAUAUUUUUCUACCUCUGGAUAGUAUUGUCAAG
rnacentral:lncRNA from 1 species